UAAUUUCACCAUAGAGUUUCUUUAGAUGUAUAGAUGUAGUAAUUA
rnacentral:guide_RNA from 1 species